rnacentral:rRNA from 1 species
CCCAUGGUGUGACGGGCGGUGUGUACAAGGCCCGGGAACGUAUUCACCGUAGCAUUCUGAUCUACGAUUACUAGCGAUUCCGACUUCAUGGAGUCGAGUUGCAGACUCCAAUCCGGACUACGACGUACUUUAUGAGUUCCGCUUGCUCUCGCGAGGUCGCUUCUCUUUGUAUACGCCAUUGUAGCACGUGUGUAGCCCUACUCGUAAGGGCCAUGAUGACUUGACGUCAUCCCCACCUUCC